rnacentral:rRNA from 1 species
CCUACGGGAGGCAGCAGUGGGGAAUAUUGCACAAUGGGGGAAACCCUGAUGCAGCGACGCCGCGUGAAGGAAGAAGUAUUUCGGUAUGUAAACUUCUAUCAGCAGGGAAGAAAAUGACGGUACCUGACCAAGAAGCCCCGGCUAACUACGUGCCAGCAGCCGCGGUCAGACGUAGGGGGCAAGCGUUAUCCGGAUUUACUGGGUGUAAAGGGAGCGUAGGCGGUUUAGCAAGUCAGAAGUGAAAGGCCGGGGCUCAACUCCGGGACUGCUUGUGAAACUGGUGAACUGGAGUGCAGGAGAGGUAAGUGGAAUUCCUGGUGUAGCGGUGAAAUGCGUAGAUAUUAGGAGGAACACCAGUGGCGAAGGCGGCUUACUGGACUGUAAAUGACGCUGAGGCUCGAAAGCGUGGGGAGCAAACAGGAUUAGAUACCCCAGUAGUC